rnacentral:rRNA from 1 species
AUUGAACGCUAGCGGGAUGCCUUACACAUGCAAGUCGAACGAGUGGGGACGGGUGAGUAACACGUGGGUAACCUCCCACCAGAGGGGAUAACACUUGGAAACAGGUGCUAAAACGAUACCGAUGGAUGGACCCGCGGUGCAUUAGCGCGUUGGUGAGGUAACGGCUAAACAAGGCCACGAUGCAUAGCCGACCUGAGAGGGUGAUCGGCCACACUGGGACUGAGACACGGCCCAGACUCCUACGGGAGGCAGCAGUAGGGAAUCUUCGGCAAUGUACGAAAGUCUGACCGAGAAACGCCGCGUGAGUGAAGAAGAUUUUCGGAUCGUAGAACUCUGUUGUUAGAGGAGCGGUAUCUAACCAGAGAGCCACGGCUAACUACGUGCCAGCAGCCGGGGUAAUUC